rnacentral:rRNA from 1 species
UGAGUACGAGAUGCUACGGCGUCGAAGCAGUCUAUGUCAUACUUCCAAGAAAAGCUUGCACUGUCAUAAACAAAGAAUGCCUGUACCAUAACCGACACAGGUGGGUAGGUAGAGUAUACUAAGGGGCGCGAGAUAACUCUCUCUAAGGAACUCGGCAAAAUGACUCCGUAACUUCGGGAGAAGGAGUGCCUUAUUUUUAAGGUUGCAAUAACAAGAUCCAAGCAACUGUUUACCAAAAACACAGGUCUCCGCUAAGUCGUAAGACGAUGUAUGGGGGCUGACGCCUGCCCAGUGCCAGAAGGUUAAAGAAGUUGGUUAGCAUUCGCGAAGCUGAUAACUGAAGCCCUGGUGAACGGCGGCCGUAACUAUAACGGUCCUAAGGUAGCGAAAUUCCUUGUCGGGUAAGUUCCGACCCGCACGAAAGGCGUAAUGAUUUGGAUACUGUCUCGGAGAGGGGCUCGGUGAAAUAGACUUGUCUGUGAAGAUGCGGACUACCUGCACCUGGACAGAAAGACCCUAUGAAGCUUUACUGUAACUUGAGAUUGAAAUUGGACUUUAUUUGCGCAGUAUAGGUGGGAGGCGUUGAGAAUAAUCUUGCGGGAUUAUGGGAGCCAUCAGUGAGAUACCACUCUUGUAAUGUUAGAUUUCUAACUUUGUAUCAUUAUCUGGUCAAAGAACAGUUUCAGGCGGGCAGUUUGACUGGGGCGGUCGCCUCCCAAAGGGUAACGGAGGCGCACAAAGGUUUCCUCUGAACGGGUAGAAAUCGUAUCUAGAGUGUAAAGGCAUAAGGAAGCUUGACUGUGAGACCUACAAGUCGAGCAGGGACGAAAGUCGGUCUUAGUGAUCUGACGGUGCUGAGUGGAAAGGCCGUCACUCAACGGAUAAAAGUUACUCUAAGGAUAACAGGCUGAUCUCCCCCAAGAGUUCACAUCGACGGGGAGGUUUGGCACCUCGAUGUCGGCUCAUCGCAUCCUGGGGCGGUAGUACGUCCCAAGGGUUGGGCUGUUCGCCCAUGAAAGCGGUACGCGAGCUGGGUUCAGAACGUCGUGAGACAGUUCGGUCCAUAUCCGGUGUAGGCGUUAGAAUAUUGAAAGGAGCCUUCUCUAGUACGAGAGGACCGAGAAGGACAUACCUCUGGUGUACCAGUUAUCGUGCCAACGGUAAACGCUGGGUAGCUAUGUAUGGAGUGGAUAACCGCUGAAAGCAUCUAAGUGGGAAGCCCACCUUAAGAUAAGUAUUCUCA